CAAAACUCCUCAGCAAUUUAUUAUUGUUGGUUAUGGGUAUAGAGUAGAUCUAACGGUCGCUUUUACCUUAAACUUGCUGCACGACCGCAAGCUUAUGCUAGGUUAAUGGAGUGGUGUUUACAAUAUUCCAGCUGCCUUUUAGUAUAGCUAGUGGCGUUAAACCUGAUGUUGCUUAACUGCAACUGAA
rnacentral:misc_RNA from 1 species